rnacentral:rRNA from 1 species
AUUGAACGCUGGCGGAAUGCCUUACACAUGCAAGUCGAGCGGCAGCACGGGGGCAACCCUGGUGGCGAGCGGCGAACGGGUGAGUAAUACAUCGGAACAUGCCCAGUCGUGGGGGAUAACAACUCGAAAGAAGUGCUAAUACCGCAUACGUCCUGCGGGAGAAAGCGGGGGAUCUUCGGACCUCGCGCGAUUGGAGGGGCCGAUGUCAGAUUAGCUAGUUGGUGGGGUAAAGGCCUACCAAGGCAACGAUCUGUAGCUGGUCUGAGAGGAUGAUCAGCCACACUGGGACUGAGACACGGCCCAGACUCCUACGGGAGGCAGCAGUGGGGAAUUUUGGACAAUGGGGGCAACCCUGAUCCAGCCAUUCCGCGUGGGUGAAGAAAGCCGUCGGGUUGUAAAGCUCUUUCGGCAGGAACGAAACGGCGAGCUCUAACAUAGCUUGCUAAUGACGGUACCUGAAGAAGAAGCACCGGCUAACUACGUGCCAGCCGCCGCAGUAAUAC